UAAGGAAUAUUGGUCAAUGGGCGCAAGCCUGAACCAGCCAUGCCGCGUGCAGGAAGACGGCCCUAUGGGUUGUAAACUGCUUUUGUCAGGGAAUAAACCCCCGCUCGUGAGCGGGGCUGAAGGUACCUGAAGAAUAAGCAUCGGCUAACUCCGUGCCAGCAGCCGCGGUAAUACGGAGGAUGCAAGCGUUAUCCGGAUUCAUUGGGUUUAAAGGGUGCGCAGGCGGAUUGGUAAGUCAGGGGUGAAAUCCCACAGCUCAACUGUGGAACUGCCUUUGAUACUGUCAGUCUAGAGUAUAGUUGAAGCGGGCGGAAUGUGUCAUGCAGCGGUGAAAUGCUUAGAUAUGACACAGAACACCGAUCGCGAAGGCAGCUCGCUAAGCUAUAACUGACGCUCAUGCACGAAAGCGUGGGGAUCAAACAG
rnacentral:rRNA from 1 species